UGUUGCGUCUGACGGGAUCCUCCCUGGAAAGAUGGGCAGUGCCACGGCUCUGCCCUCCAAACCCAGCCAGGCCUCACCUUCUGUGGGUGUGUGGAGUCGGGCCGCAGCCUGUCAGGACCAGGUGCGGCGGAGGCCCGAGGUCGCCCACAGCUCUGCUACGCGGAAACUCUGCAGCGCUCGUCUUGUUCGUCAGCGAACAGACGAAAACAGCAGCAAUGGGUGAAAGUAGACGCAAUCCGCUGCACAGCGCGGUUUGAAUGUGGCUCAGUUCAAUCGCAUUUAUAUAAAAAUAAAAUCCUUAUGACAGCGCUGGAGUCCUUAGAGUGAUUUCUCUGUCUGGUCUAGCAGACACGAGUCCACUUAGCUAAUUAAAGAAACAAACCAGAGGUCUCCAUGGCUCUCUGUUUACUGCUGCGUGAUGGAGGGCAUAAAACACAAGCAGCAGUAGAAAUGCAGACGGACAGCAGGGUGACUUAGAGGAGCUCUGAGGACAGAGACGGAACAGGGAACUGACUCUGAAGGAGGCAGAAGAUAGAGAAAAACUUGAAGGAAUAGAAAACAUGUUUUUAGAUCUAGAUCUAGAAGUAUAUAGAUUGGAACCUACCCUUCCUUUCCUUUUAUUGUGUUGCUAAGCUACCUGGCUCCUGCAUAUGCAUCAUUUGACUUGAAGGUUGCAGUUACUUGAAUGUUUUCAAUACUGCAACUUUAUGAACGCAUGUGACUGCAAGGUCUAAUCACUGGUCGUCUCGUAAAUUAAAUUUAUUGGCCUCACAAGACACUGAAAUAUAUGUUACAUAACCUUGUAUCAUAUGAGAUCAAACAAACAAGCACUGUCUAGGAGGGACAGACGAGGCUCGAGCGUGGAGCAGUGAGGGCUGAUGCUGAAGGACGACAGUGAGCUGCACAGUGAGCGAUGGGACGGGACAGAGGAGGACGCAGCAGUCGGCGCAGCAGCGGCUGUCGAGGAGUCUUUGUUCCAGUAAGAGCCUCGCAGCAUCACCCGAUGACUCACCUGCCGUAAGACGACAUCACCCCCAGCAUGAGAUCAUCAGGUUGAUCUCACCUACGACACACACGAAGCGACUGAUGCGCACGCGGAGGGAAGCGUUUUUAAAUGCUCAUCCACCUGCGCACACGCAGCCGAUACUAUAAUGUCAGCCUCACUUAGCAUCAACUUCAAGCCAAGAGUUUUAAACGCCUGUCGAUAUCAAGGACAAUAGAACACACACUGCACGCGUAUCACAUCAAAGGACGGAACAAUCAGAAAAGGUCUCCAUCACGCUGAUCACGACGCGAUGCUCAGGUAAAGCCAACGGGGUCAGACGUCUAAGAGGGUUUAUAAAUGUCUUUUACCACCAGCUGCAUUUAAGGCAAUAAGAUGAAUUAUUAAUUUGUCUAAUCUGAGUUUCUGCUGAUCUGCGAGAGGAUGGUUCGCAGAAAAGAGCAGGCCGAGUACUUAAGCUGCGGCUGAACGACACUUCAGUGCUGUGGGACGAGCAUUGGGUUACAUAGGAGAAGAGGAGAUCACUCCAAUUACUGUAUGUUAAAGGGAGAGAAAGGAUAAAGUAGAGAUAAAAAGCAGGCACGCCGCUGAAAUGCACUGCUGGUUAAUAAAAUAAAAUCACAAAAUCACAUUGUGACUGUGAUGCUGGGCCCACAUGUGUUUGCAGAAUCACAGGCUGACGCUCUGAAACAAGAGUGGGUGCUCUGAAACCAGCACCGGUUACGCGUAUUUCAGUAAACCUCAAAGAAUGUGUUCCUCACCUACACUUAUCUUACAACGGGAAACUUUUUCAUAACUGCAUGAGAUGCCGUUUGAAAGCGCGGCCGUCUGGCCCGCGCCUGCUUCUGGUGCUACUGGGCUGAGAGCGCACAGCGACCCUGAACUAACGCAAACACUGCAUCGCCAGCGGGGGACGCAUAGAGCGGCGCGCGGACGUCCUCCGGGGACCCCAAACCAACGCGCACGCAUGGA